rnacentral:rRNA from 1 species
AGUAACGCGUGAGUAACCUGCCUUACACAAGGGGAUAGCCUUUGGAAACGAAGAAUAAUACCCUAUAAAACCAUAAAAGCACAUGCUAGAAUGGUCAAAGUGAUAGCGGUGUAAGAUGGACUUGCGUCUGAUUAGCUAGUUGGUGAGAUAAAAGCUCACCAAGGCAACGAUCAGUAGCCGGCUUGAGAGAGUGUACGGCCACAUUGGGACCUGAGACACGGCCCAG